rnacentral:rRNA from 1 species
CUCUGUGACUCCUACGGGAGGCAGCAGUGGGGAAUAUUGCACAAUGGGGGAAACCCUGAUGCAGCCAUGCCGCGUGUGUGAAGAAGGCCUUCGGGUUGUAAAGCACUUUCAGUAGGGAGGAAGGUAGUGUAGUUAACACCUGCACUAUUUGACGUUACCUACAGAAGAAGCACCGGCUAACUCCGUGCCAGCAGCCGCGGUAAUACGGAGGGUGCGAGCGUUAAUCGGAAUUACUGGGCGUAAAGCGCAUGCAGGCGGCCUGUUAAGUCAGAUGUGAAAGCCCGGGGCUUAACCUCGGAAUUGCAUUUGAAACUGGCAGGCUAGAGUCUUGUAGAGGGGGGUAGAAUUUCAGGUGUAGCGGUGAAAUGCGUAGAGAUCUGAAGGAAUACCAGUGGCGAAGGCGGCCCCCUGGACAAAGACUGACGCUCAGAUGCGAAAGCGUGGGGAGCAAACAGGAUUAGAUACCCUGUAG